UACGGGGGGGGCAAGCGUUGUUCGGAAUUACUGGGCGUAAAGGGCGCGUAGGCGGCUUACCAAGUCAGGCGUGAAAUUCCCGGGCUCAACCUGGGGGCUGCGCUUGAUACUGGUGAGCUUGAAUGCGGGAGAGGAUAGUGGAAUUCCCAGUGUAGAGGUGAAAUUCGUAGAUAUUCGCAAGAACACCAGUGGCGAAGGCGGCUCACUGGCCCGGUACUGACGCUGAGGUGCGAAAGCGUGGGGAGCAAACAGG
rnacentral:rRNA from 1 species